GCUUUCAUGGUGUAGUGGUCAGCACGCUCGACGCGUAACCGAGAGGUCCGUGGUUCGAUCCCUGCGAGGGCA
rnacentral:tRNA from 1 species